CAGCUUCUUCAAAAGCCCAUGUGGCAGUGAGGACAGUGAAAUUUUGUUUCUGUGAAGUUUGCAUGCCCAGACAUUCUGAACACAGAGGCCUCUUUAGUGGCCAGUAAGGCUUUACAUGCUUUGAAGGCUAGACAAUUUUUGUUUAGCACAAUUUUCUUAAAAAGCAAGUGAAGGUGAGUGGGGUGUGUUCUUUAAUUCAUGAUCUAUUGUGGCACUUAUAUAAAUUAUCUUUCUGAGUUGCUGAAAAAGAGUUAUGUUAAACACUCACCUCGUGAGUUUAUGUAACUUAUGGUCAGAUAAAUUACCAUUUAAAUAAAAUCUUUUGAGCAGCACAUCUGUUCUCUGUGUUUCUCCCAAGUCACAUCUGCUUCCUUUACAUAAAGAAACAAACUUUUACUACCGUUAGUGCAGUAAUGCCAAUACAAUGUGCAGGAGAAUUGAAUCAUUUUGGCUUCCACCGGCAUCCAGGGAAGUUCUGAGUAUGCCCCCUUCUGCCCCAUACACUUAUGUUGAUUUGAAGUUUAUAUUUGGCAUUCUAAGAAUCAGUCUCCUGAUUUCUGUGCUGCAUAGGGAAAUAGAAAGGAACUGUGAGAGGUUUUUAAAUAAAAUAUUCCAGUUAGAGUAACCCGAUUUCAACUGUGACAUUUGGAACAUUGAAAGAGGUUGCGAGUAAAGGAGAAACAAAUAAAGGGAGAUGCUCUUGAUAACUCCAGUGAUUCUUUGUAGGAUUUAAUUGCUCCAAAGGGUCCUUAGAACUUUUAUCUCUCUUUUGCCAUUUUUGUCCUCAUUUCUCAAGUCCAAACUACCUGUGGCAACAGUCCAUGGCCAGAGAGCAAGAAUGGUGAUGAGAAAAGGGAGAGAUAUUGGACACUAGGGUUAACAUUUGUAUAAGUCCUUCUACUACUACCAAGCUGAGUCUAAAACAUGACAUUUUUUAAAAGACAUUUGUGGCUUCAUCCAACAACAGAGUUUGGCUCCAUAUAAGACAAUUUAAAGCAAAUGGUUACUCUGGGCCAGUGAUUCUUAACACUUUAGAGGAAUCAAGGUAUCCUUUUUU